CCUACGGGUGGCAGCAGUGGGGAAUAUUGGGCAAUGGGCGCAAGCCUGACCCAGCAACGCCGCGUGAAGGAAGAAGGCUUUCCGGUUUUAAACUUCUUUUGUCAGGGAAGUGUAGAAGACGGUACCUGACGAAUAAGCCACGGCUAACUACGUGCCAGCAGCCGCGGUAAUACGUAGGUGGAAAGCGUUGUCCGGAUUUACUGGGUGUAAAGGGCGUGUAGCCGGGUUGACAAGUCAGAUGUGAAAUCCUGCGGCUUAACCGCAGAAUUGCAUUUGAAACUGUUGGUCUUGAGUAUUGUAGAGGUAGAUGGAAUUCCUAGUGUAGCGGUGAAAUGCGUAGAUAUUAGGAGGAACACCAGUGGCGAAGGCAGUCUGCUGAACAGCAACUGACGGUGAGGCGCGAAAGCGUGGGGAGCAAACAGGAUUAGAUACCCCGGUAGUC
rnacentral:rRNA from 1 species